rnacentral:rRNA from 1 species
UACGUAGGGGGCUAGCGUUGUCCGGAAUCAUUGGGCGUAAAGCGCGUGUAGGCGGUUCGGUAAGGCCGCUGUGAAAGUCGAGGGCUCAACCCUCGAAUGCCGGUGGAUACUGUCGGGCUUGAGUACGGGAGAGGCGAGUGGAAUUCCUGGUGUAGCGGUGAAAUGCGCGGAUAUCAGGAGGAACACCGAUUGCGAAGGCAGCUCGCUGGAACGUUACUGACGCUGAGACGCGAAAGCGUGGGGAGCAAACAGG